UUCCCCCUCGGCCCAUGAAGCGGGAUUGGGACACAAGGUGGCAAGCGCCAACACAAACCUCUGUGUGCAGUACCCUGAACACAGAAAUGUGGGGCUGACGUCUUCCCAAAUGCAGAAGCAGUUCCCAAACACAAAUGCUGCUCCUCUCAGCGUGGCUCUCCAACAAGAAGACUUAUUCUUACUCAUCCAUUCUCCUGUAAAUCAUGUUGUCCAAUGCCUCAGCAGAAAACAGCUCUGUGGGAACCAGGAGAGCCUGGGGAGAGUGAACCACUCAUGGACCAUGUUACAUAUCAGUGAAACAAAUGUGUCCUUGGAAAAAAUCACUUUCUAAGAUACUGUCCCUUACUACUCAGGUGAAAAGUGCUGCAACAGCACAGACAGUAGAACUUCACUCCAGAAGCACAUGAGUGUUUGUACAUCACAUCGUGUUUUCACUACCGUUUUUCUUUUCUUUUUUUUUUUUUCCUUUGAAUUUUUAAUCCUUUAGCAAAUACCUUGGUGUGAAUGGCCACCAGGUCAAAUGCUCUGCCUUGGCAACAAGGGGACUCCAAGGAAGCCCCAGCAGUGCUGCCAAUCUCCUCGCUCCACACCUGCCAGAAAGCAACUGGAGAGAAAAAAACCUUCCUAUGGUCUCUGUGCCUUUCAGGCAGGGAGACCAGAGAAUGGCCCAAGGGCAGUCACUGAUAAAAGUACCCCUGAAGGACUUCUGCCCUCAUCCAUCUCCCAGCCACUGUCCAACUCCUCCCCUCAGCACUCCCUGUGCUCCUCAGCUUCCAAUAUCUGACACAGAUUAACCAGAGCUCUCCAGUGACGGUGCCACACACAGAGUUCUCCAGCUCCACAGCUGGGGGACUUCACAACACAGAGCUUCAGCCAGACAGGCAGCAGCUUCCCUCCAGCCUGAUACAGCAACGGGAACACCUCUGCUAAGACCACAUGGCCACGUCGGGAAAAGUUAUCAGAUGCAGAGCUGCUGUUGCCUGGGCCGCGGGCAAACCACUCUCUGUCGAGGAGGUGGAGGUUGCACCUCCAAAGGCAGGUGAAGUCCGGAUCAAGAUUGUGGCCACUGGCAUCUGUCACACAGAUGAACAUGUUUUGAAAGGUUGCUUUCCUAAUGUGGAAUUCCCAGUUAUCCCAGGCCACGAAGGAGCUGGGAUUGUGGAAAGUGUUGGAGAAGGAGUGACCUCUAUGAAACCAGGAGACAAAGUGAUACCCCUUUGCCUCCCUCAGUGUGGGGAAUGCAGCUUCUGUCUGAAUCCUGAAUCCAAUUACUGCCUGAAAUGCCAUUUCUCUGAACAUCAAAACCUCCUGCCUGACAAGACCACCCGGUUCACUUGCAAAGGGAAGCAGAUCCACCAUUUCAUGUGGGUCAGCACCUUUGCAGAAUACACCGUGGUCCCAGAGUACGCUGUGGCCAAGAUAGAUCCUGCAGCACCUCUGGACAAAGUCUGCUUGCUCGGCUGUGGGUUUUCCACAGGCUAUGGGGCUGCCCUCAACAACGCCAAGGUAAAGCCAGGCUCCACCUGUGCCAUCUUCGGCCUCGGAGGAGUUGGCCUCUCUGUCGUCAUGGGCUGCAAGGCAGCUGGAGCUUCCCGCAUCAUUGCCGUGGAUAUCAACAAGGACAAGUUUGCCAAGGCCAAGGAGCUGGGAGCCACCGACUGCAUCAACCCUCGCGACUACAAGAAGCCCAUCCAGGAGGUGCUCACUGAGAUGACAGGACAGGGUGUGGACUACUCCUUUGAGGCCAUUGGCUAUGCAGAAACCAUGAUUGCUGCCCUGGCUUCCUGCAAUAUGAGCACUGGCGUUUGUGUGAUGGUUGGGGUACUGGAUUCCGGUUCAGAGAUUUCCGUCGAUCCUACUCUUCUGCUGACUGGGCGUACAUGGAAGGGGUCAGCACUUGGAGGCUGGAAGACGAGAGAUUGUAUCCCCAAAUUAGUUUCCAGCUAUUUGGAGAAGAAAUUCAAUUCAGACUUGCUGAUCACACACACGCUGCCCUUCGCUAAAGUGAACGAGGGAUUUGAGUUGUUACGUGCAGGAAAGAGUAUUCGCAGCGUCCUGCUCUUCUGAGGGACACGGCCAUGGAAAGCUGAGAGGAGGGACCAGCCCAGCAGAUGCUCUCCUGGCCCAUGCCCUUCUAAAUCAGCCUCACCUUGUGGGGCACAAGGAGACGAGAAGAAGGAAGUCGCCUACGCUGGUCUUGCUGCUGCUCUUCCUGUGCCCAGACAAGACCCAGAAGGAUCCCUCUUCUGAGAAAACGCUUUUACCAAUAAAGGGUUUCAGUCAAA